rnacentral:lncRNA from 1 species
GGGUUUUGACUGUGAUGGAGAAGCCAAAGCUAACACCAUUCAACUUGAUGAUGAAGCAUAAGCCAAAGCUAACACCGAAAGUGAUUUGGACGGUUGAAUUUGAUGAUUUAUUUAUUUAUAAACUGAAAAGGACUUUCUCUUCAUUAACUGAUGCACUCCUUAAGGACUCGUUCAGUUCGCGGAAAGAACUUUUCUUCUCAAAAAGUUAUAGCGAUUUGAAUG